AACAAAGUCUGUGUCUACACCAGACACAAGAGGGUGGUGUGAAUGAAUGAAUAAAUGAAGUUUAGUUUCAUGAAAUUAUCUCCAUGCAGAAUCCAGCCAGGUGUUUGUGAUAGAUCCAAAGGGACAUGACGAAGAAGCGAAAUCCAUGCAUGCAGCCAGUAGAUUUCGAGAGUUCUUCAAGAUGAGACGAAUCUGUCUCAGUAAAAAUGACUGGGUGGACAUAAAAUGGAAUGGAGGACUAAUUAA